rnacentral:rRNA from 1 species
UACAGAGGUGUCAAACGUUGUCCGGAAUUACUGGGCGUAAAGGGCGCGUAGGCGGCCUUAUAAGUCAUGUGUGAAAGCUCUGGGCUCAACCCAGGAAUUGCAUGUGAUACUGUAAGGCUCGAGUUCGGUAGAGGAGGGCGGAAUUCCAGGUGUAGCGGUGAAAUGCGUAGAUAUCUGGAGGAACACCCGUGGCGAAGGCGGCUCUCUGGUCCGAAACUGACGCUGAGGUGCGAAAGCGUGGGGAGCGAACAGG